rnacentral:sRNA from 1 species
UUUCAAAAUGGUUUUUAGAGUCUUUCUAGUCUUUUUCGUAUGUUUUGAGUCAUUUCAGGUACACUUAUGCAUCUGGGAGCUAUGGAGCAUAAUAAGGAAUUUUGGAAGCUUUUCAGCAAUGAAGAUUAUCAAAGACGUUUUUUCAUGUGA